rnacentral:rRNA from 1 species
UACAGAGGUCUCAAGCGUUGCUCGGAUUCAUUGGGCGUAAAGGGUGCGUAGGCGGCGCGGUAAGUCGGGUGUGAAAUCUUGGAGCUUAACUCCGAAACUGCAUUCGAUACUGCCGUGCUUGAGGACUGGAGAGGAGACUGGAAUUUACGGUGUAGCGGUGAAAUGCGUAGAUAUCGUAAGGAAGACCAGUGGCGAAGGCGGGUCUCUGGGCAUUUCCUGACGCUGAGGCGCGAAAGCGUGGGGAGCAAACGGG